rnacentral:rRNA from 1 species
AUUGAACGCUGGCGGCAGGCCUAACACAUGCAAGUCGAACGAGUGGCGGACGGGUGAGUAAUGUCUGGGAAACUGCCUGAUGGAGGGGGAUAACUACUGGAAACGGUAGCUAAUACCGCAUACCAUCAGAUGUGCCCAGAUGGGAUUAGCUUGUUGGUGGGGUAACGGCUCACCAAGGCGACGAUCCCUAGCUGGUCUGAGAGGAUGACCACCCACACUGGAACGUGGAAACGGUCCAGACUCCUACGGGAGGAGGCAGGGGGGAAUAUUGCAAAAGGGGCGAAAGCCUGAUGAAGCCAUGCCGCGGGUAGGAAGAAGGCCUUCGGGUUGUAAAGUACUUUCAGGGGGGAGGCGUUACCCGCAGAAGAAGCACCGGCUAACUCCGUGCCAGCAGCCGCGGUAAUAC